UGUAUUCAGGAGGAGGUGCUGACGGACUCACCUUUGGCAAAGGGACUCAUCUAAUCAUCCAGCCCU